rnacentral:rRNA from 1 species
UACGUAGGGUGCGAGCGUUAAUCGGAAUUACUGGGCGUAAAGCGUGCGCAGGCGGCGCGUUAAGACAGGUGUGAAAGCCCCGAGCUUAACUUGGGAAUUGCGCUUGUGACUGGCGUGCUGGAGUGUGGCAGAGGGAGGUGGAAUUCCACGUGUAGCAGUGAAAUGCGCAGAUAUCAGGAGGAACACCGGUGGCGAAGGCGGGACUCUGGGCCGAUACUGACGCUGAGGAGCGAAAGCGUGGGGAGCAAACAGG